rnacentral:lncRNA from 1 species
CGUGAGCAAGGAAGGGCAAACGGAGCUCUUGGGAGGAAGGUGAUCCUCGUCGGGGUGCUUGGGAGGGGUCGGCCCGAGGCCCGGCCUCCCUUCUUCUUCUUGUCUUCUUCUUCUUCUCCUCUUUCUCUUCUUCUUCCUCUUCUUCUUCCUCUUCUUUCUUCUUCUUUCUUCCUCUUCUUUCCUCUUCUUCCUCUUCUUCUUCCUCUUCUUUCUUCUUCUUUCAGUCUGGGUCGCAUCGGUACGCUACAUGGACCAAUCUAAUACAUGCUGAGCCGGGCCGGUUCAGCAUACCAUGACCAUGAUAGAAUUUCACUUGCUGAGCUUAGUAGCUUACCUUUUCUUUUAUAUAAAUUUUUCAGAGUGACUAGUAAAAGCCUAAGCAAACCUACUUGAGGAGAUAGAUUUGAUAUUUCAAAAUUAAUAUUUGGAUAAUCAAAUCUAGUGAUUAUCGAAGCGACAGCAGAAACAUAGUUUUUCAUCUUGUGUUAAUAUCAUUGAAGGUAUCAUAUUGUGAAUUUUGUUUUAAUAUUUUGUUGGAUGUCAUAGUUGAGUGGAUUUUGUUUUAAUAUUUUGAGUUAUAUUUUAGUUAUACAUUGUUGGAUGUCAUAGUUUCUUUUGAGGAUUUAAAUUUUAAUGAAGUUUUAAUUGAUUAUAAUGGUCACAACUUGGCAUUCGUCAAGAUCAAAUUUCGGGUCAUGACAUGCAAUGACUUGGCGAUUGACUUGCGAAGAGGAUGGGGGCAUCUACUAAGAGACACAACUAGGGAGGCAAUUCCCCAAGAACUCAAAGGACUUAGUAGGAAUGGACCUACCAUCAACCUCUAGUACAACUGAAAUGCAACUCUUCUUUAGUUAACAAUGAAAAGAAAAUAGAUAGGAAAAAGGAUUUUGACAAGUUAAAUAUGUAAUUUGGUAGUUAAUACCAAGAGACUAUACUGAUAUACAAUCCAUAAAUUUGUGGCCAUGCAUAGAGUGUCAAAUUACAAAUUGACAUAUAGAAUAUCUUUAGGUUUCUUGGAGGCAAGGAGUUAAGUAUUGUUUACUGGUGACAUGUCAACCUAGAACUGGCAUAGUUUCAUGUCGUGCGAACUAUGCCAAUGCUUGGCAUUCUUCUACUUACUGGCGUGGCAGCAUGACAAGUAUUGGCACGCAGCCAACACCGUGCCAAUUCAGCUGGCACUCAAAACAGUCUUAUUAGUACAAAUGUCAGCCUUACGACAAAAAUCAAUUGCCAUUCCUUGAAGAACUUGAUUCUAAUGGAACAUGAUUCAACCAUAUCAUAGCUCAAUAGAUUUUAUUUGUUGAUGUUCUAGUAAAGUGUAGGUGCAUCGGCCAGAUUUCAUUUUGUUUCAAUACGCACUGAAUCCUUUGGAUUGAAUCCUUAAGUGCGUUGCAAUGAGGCUUACAUGUUUUAGAAUGAUCAAAAAGGACACGUGAUACUAUCAUUCAAAAACCAACUAUAGUACACCAGAUUAGAGUGGAGUAAACAACUUCCAUAUUUCUUUAUUAUGUAUAACACAAACCCCUAAAGAGGUUAGUAUGCCUCAGUACGGGCCGGAUACUGUAUCGAUAUCAUAUCGGUUCGGUACAAUAUGGUACGGUACACCUCUGUUUUGAAACUACUUCUUAGCCAUUUUUCUCAAUUUUUAUUUUGGUACGCCUUGAUAUAGGUCGGUACGCCUCGGGACGGGCCGGUACACACCUCGGUACGCCUCGGUACCGGUCGGUAGACCUCGAUACAGGGCAGUAUAUCUCGGUAUAGGGCGGUACGAGGCUUGUACCAAC